rnacentral:sRNA from 1 species
UCAACAUUAUUAUAAGCGUUAUCCAGGUC